rnacentral:rRNA from 1 species
CAGCCGUAAACUAUGCGCGUUAGGUGUAUCGGUGACCACGAGUUACCGAGGUGCCGAAGGGAAACCGCGAAACGUGCCGCCUGGGAAGUACGGUCGCAAGGCUGAAACUUAAAGGAAUUGGCGGGGGAGCACAACAACGGGUGGAGCCUGCGGUUUAAUUGGACUCAACGCCGGACAACUCACCGGGAACGACAGCAAUAUGUAGGCCAGGCUGAAGACCUUGCCUGAAUCGCUGAGAGGUGGUGCAUGGCGUGUGACUGU